GAAUAGUAGCCCUUCAUGAAGUAAGGUCUUUGAGAGAGCUUCCAAAAAGAGCACAUUUUAAUAUUUUAAAUAUCAUGCUUGACUAAAAAAAUUUAAAAAAAAAAUAGUCGCGUGUUGAUUUUAGAAACUUAUGACCCUGAAACUUAGCUAUAUCCUGCUAGGGAUGGGCAAAAAAUCAUACCUGAUUGGUCCCGAACGCUUAUUUUCCAUCCUGAUGAUACCGGUUGGGGGAUUUUUAACAGUGUUGGGUGGGUAGGUAAUACCCAUCCGAUAAGGUUCGGUAGGACAUGGAUUUAGAGGUUUUCCACCGAACCCGACCGAUUAACCAAGAAAUUAACGAAAAUACCCUUGUCAAUUUUAAUUAAUUUACGUUUUACCCUCAAUAAAUAGAAUAUGAUUUAGCAUUAGAGUUCAUUAUUAUUUGCUUUUUGUUUUUUAAAGUUUUUUCAUUCAGCUGUAUUUUUUUGUGUGAGCAACGUUUGGAACAUAGUUUCUAUAUAAAAAAAAUGGUGAGCGGGUAAUGAUUAGGCGGGUAGGGUAUGAGUUUAAUCUUUCAUGGGGCGGGACGGUUUUGGGGAUGGGUUAAUCGGGUCGGUGUGGGUUUGGGGGAGGAUUUCUUUUCUUUAGCCGGUUUUGUGUCUGGAGCAGGCAAUUGCCAUCCUUCCCUAUAUACUGCCCUGCACUUUGUCUUAUACUCUUGAGUAGAUGACUUAACAUUUUUAAUGGUUUUCUAUCACUUUCAUAGUUCAAUUCUUCUGGAGUGGUAUUGCCCUGAAACAAUACAAGAGCUUGGAGCUGCAAUUAGAUCGAUGAUCUGGGUAAUUUUGCGUAAACAGUUUUAACUCUGCAGUUAUUUAUGCAAAAAUAGCUUUUACAAUUAAAGAGGAUGAAGUAUGAGAGGCAAUCCCUGAGUUGGCCUGAGAGUGAGCAGGGUAGAGGAGGAAUGGCAGUAGCCUGGUGAGAGAGAGUAGGAAAACUUUCUUAGAAUUAGGGUUAGCGCAAUCUUUUAUACUCCAGGAGGGUGAAAUUUCUUCCCACACAUUCUCCCUCCGAACCCAAACGGCAAAAACCCCAUCUUGUGCUUGCAUCCACUAUACAAGUGAUCACUUUUGAACCUCUCCGGCUGAAACUCGUACACGUCAUUGCCCCAUAGAUCCCGGUCGUGGUGCAUUGAUACGACAUCGAUCAAAUAUUAGAUCCCUUGCAAAUAACCACAUUGUCCGAAACCCAAAUCGCCUCUCUCGCUUGCCUUUGUAGGUUUGGCUCCGGUGAAUAUAGUCGUAAAACUUCAUUAAUCACCCAUCCCAUCUGCAGUUACAAAUACAAUCAAUGAGAACAAGUUGGUUUAAUCGUUUUUUUUAGUACUAGGUUUAAUUCGUCACCCCUUUUGAGUCCAGGCAAGCAGGUGGGAUCAACCUCUCCAUCCCCACAACUUGUUUGAUCUCUAUCCUCUGAGCGGAUCUUGCCACCAGUGGUAGAUUGACAGAAGGCAUCAUCUUCCACCAUCAGGACCAAUCCGACGUUAUCCUGACCACUGAAGAAAGAACGUCUUGCACUCAUCAACGAAUCUCUCGUCAUGGAAUCUCUCUUUGUGCUGCCGUCUAGCAAAGUUCUUGCCAGCAAAAGGCCGAGCAGGUCCUUUUGAGGAAUAUUCCAGUGAUCGUCGAUCAGUUCUCUCGUCGAUCUUUUAUGAUCGAACACGAGAGCAUCGAUUUGGUUUCCAAUCAUUUUUGCUGGAGGGUUUGCUUGGGGAACAUGAUGAAAUGGCAUUUACAGGACUCCAACAAAGUGGUGGAUUGAGAGGGUGACUUGAAACGGAUGUUAUUUUCUCGAACACCUGUUUUCCACUUUAGUUGCUUAUGCCAAAGCUUGCUUUUGCUAUGAUUUCACCGGCCAUGAUUGUGAUUUCUCUCCCUGUGUCGAUUCUAGAUUGCCGAUGCUGGUGAGGGCCCGUCCAAUUGGUCUAAAUGAGGUGUGGUAGACUCCGCCAUUAAGCUUGCCAUAGCCUGUUGUUCAACACGUUGCUGUUAGUGAUUGAGAGAGAGAGAGAGAGGAGAGUACCUUCAAGUUAGAUGGGGAAAAUGCAGGGGUGAUGACAUGCUGUGAAGAAGCCAAUCGUGGCCUUCAGCCAUCACUAAGCCUUUACCAAACAUAGGUUCUCUGUUAUUCUUAAAUUUCCACAACUUUUGCCCAUUAUACCCUUAGACAUCUUCUUUAGAAACUCAGGAUCUGCUAUAUAUACAAAUGCCCUGUGCCCAACCAGUACAUAAACACCUUCCCUGCAUAUAGUGCAACAGCAACAACAAAACAGUUACUUUAUAUUUGGUUAAUUCUUUAGGCUUGUAUUUGGAGCAAGCAUUUAGGAGGGAUAUCUGGAGGAAGAAAUUAAAGGAAAACAAUUACACUUUUCUCCCUUAAAAGUAUAAUCAUUUUCCUCACUUUAGCUCUAAGAUUUUGUGUUUUCUCAAUUUCAUCCUUCAAUUCUUCCGGCCAAAUGAUGAAGGGAAAUUGACAUGUGCGCAUCAUCACUUGCUAUACUACUUGCAACACAGCCCUAAACUGGUCCCAUUGGCCUAAGACCCAACGGCUUAAGGGCGAGAAAAAAAGGUUUGGAGCUAGGGCUGGUAACGGGGAUGUGAAGGUUUAAGUUGCAAAAAAACUGAAAGAGGUCGUAUAGAGAGAAAUGGAGUUGUGGGUUUGGUCCCGUUCGUAAUCUGGUAGGUUUGGGUAGUGGUUUAUAUGCAUUUGGAACCAUAUGGUGGCUUACGUCAUGUUCCGCAAAUCCCAGAAGAAGGUCGUUCAGAAAGGUCCAUAUUGACAAAAAUUGAUAGUUGAGGGAUGAAAUUGAAAAAGUAAUAUUAGUAGAGCUGGAAUGAGAAUAGGGUUCUUUAUUGGGGGCAAAGUGUAAAUUAAUCCUUGAUUUUUAUUUUUUUUCUUCUCUGUUUUUAUGUACAUAUAAACACGUGUAACAUUUUAUAAUUGUCAAUCCGUUCUGGCGGUUUCAAAAUGAGUUUACAUUUUUUUUUGGAAACCCAAACAUUUGUUUCCCCAUUUAAAUCAAUAAAUGUUCCUCUAAUUUGAAAUUUAAUGUACAGAUUCAUUUUGAUUAAUAAUUUUACACACUCAAUGGAAUCUAAACCAUUCAUUUUGAAUUUACAAAAAAUAUUGAUUUAAAUUUGGAGAUCGAGCAUUGCUAGAAAAGAAAGAAAACUCCUAUUGUCCCCAAAUUUUAUCCAAUCAAAUUUUUCGAAUUAAAAUAGAUGAUAUAGAUUCACUAUGGUUUAUGUUGAUUGUAUACACUCAAGUACAUUUACCAUUUAUUUUGAAUUUAAAAAUUUUUUUUGAUUCAAUUUGAAGACUAAUAUUGCUGGAAAAUAAAUAGAAACCCUGUUACUAUGAUUUGGUCGAAGAAUAGUCGUCCAAUUGAAAAGUAGAUGGUACAAAUUUACUUUAUUAUGUGAUUUGAAAACUGGUCCCGAAAUGUUGCCAUUUUUUUCCUUCCUGGUGGGUCAUUUAAUUGUCAUAAGCCGAAAUGCCAUAAAGUGGAAUUGUCCUAAUGGUCAUAAAGAAUGGUUUAAAUUGAUAUUUUUCUAAAGGUCGAAUACUGUUGCAGUUUUAUUUUUUUCAUAUUUUAAUUAGUUGUGUUGGGGCAUGAUCCAUUUUUGACUUCGCCUAUCACACUUAAAUUACUGUGCCAUUACCUAUAGAUGUGCACGAGCAAGUUUUUCAAAUGAGCUUGCCUCUACUGUUAUACAGAGAGUGAUGUUGCAAUUGUACCUCGACUAAUAAUGACAAAAAAUGAUUGACAUUAUCUAAACUUAAUUAAUUUGACAAACUUUGAUUACUACGGAUAUUUGAAAUUAAGGGUUGUAGGAUAAAAGAAAAAUGAAUUGAGGCUGGGGACACGUAGGUCGUAGUGGAUUGACGCUGUUCGGCCGCGCCUUCAGACAGCAAAUAGUGAGAAGGAUUUCUCCGGAACUGUUACAGAGGACGGCUUUCUGACAGUUCAAGUUUAGUGAUCGGAGAAAAGAGAAGCAGAAGAAAGAGAAAGAAAAGAAUUAUGGCUCUGGUUCUUAGAGAGAGAGCGAAAAGGAGUGGGAGUUGUAGAAGAGAGAGAAAGAAUUUAUCUCUUUUUUAGUGCAGAUUGGCACGUGGGAGGAUGCGGCGAUGCGUCACCUACGCGUAAGUGAAUAGGCGGCUGACACAAUCAUGGUUCGGGGACGUAGUUUGGAGUUAGUUCUAUUGAUGAGAAUCACAAAAUUGAAUAUUUCACUAAAUUAAAAUACCUGUAAUUAGGUUAUUUUGGUAUUUACUAAUUGUUAUAUUAGACUUGUGAAGUACAAAAGGUAACCAUCAUGCAGGAUGAAAACAAUGUCAAAAUUCUUGCACUUAAAAGUGCAAAUUGGGGAAAAGACAAAGGAAUGGUUGAAGAAAUUGAGUUGUAGGGAGCUGAACCGGUCCAGAAGCUGAAACGGUCCAAGAACCUGAACCGGUCCAAGAAGCUGAACAGUCCAGGAAGCUGAACCGGGGGAACAAGAAAAAACUGACAGGUCCAGGAAAACUGAACAGGUCAAGGAAGCUGAACCGGUCCAGGAAGUUCGACCAGGCGGGAAAAUUGUCAGAAGCAUAAGAAGAAGAAAUCGACGGCCAAUAGCUGAACCGGUCGGACUAAGGAGGUUCAGUACAGUAACGACAGCUUUUGAAGACUUUUUCAAAGUCGGUUUCACCAUCCUCAAAAACUCUAUAAAAAGAAGGUUGGGAUAUUUUUUAGGGAGUUUUUAAUUUUGGAAUUUUGGAGAACACUCUCUUCUCUCUCUUAAGUUCUUAGUUUUAUUAAUUUUAAUUUUAGUUUUAUGCUCGUUAGCUAAUUUUUUAGUUUGUAAAUUAGUUACUUCUUAAAACACGUUGUACUUUAAUUUUGUCAAUUUAAUAUACUUUCAAUCUUUUCAAUUACCUUUCAAUCUCAAUUGUCCGCCUGGAUGGCUGGGUUUAUGCUACUUUUAUGCUCAUUUAUUGCUUUCUUUACUUACUUGUCAAGUAAUUCAAUUUAUAAACUUUUAUCAAAUAUGAUAGGCUAACACUGGCAUUGGUUUGGUCUAAAUACAAAGUUUCAAUCAAUCCUAGAUAAACUAGUUCCUUUUCUCUUGCAAAAACUUAAAAGGUUGGUUUCAAAUGAUCAAUAAAUUAUCAAGCUCAACCUUGAAUUGUAUAAAAUCUAGAAUUAUGUAUCACAAGAUCCCUUGUUAUAACUAAGACUUAGUCAAUUGACAUUUAAGGGUUUGAAUUGUAAUGGAAUAUCAUUGUCAAUUCACCAAACAUAUUUUUAGAGACAAGUAAUUUCAUUGACAAACUUUCCAAUCAAAUUAAUUUUAUCUUGAAAAAUUGAUUGAGUACAGAAGAAGAAAAUACAUAGGGAAUCUAAAGAAAGAUAAAAUGAAAGUAUUAAGAUCUUCCAUUUCUUUACAUUUAUAUGUUACUUUCCUUUCAUAGUCUUUCUAAAACUCACAAAAAUACAUUUUACAUUUAUUUCUUUACUUACAACACCAAAAGAAAUCAAAUCUUGCAAAUCAGCUUCUGUGGAUACGAUAUCGGACUUCGAGUAUUAUGCUGCCUGGUAAGGUUACUACGCUUGGGAACUGAAUAAAGAUAGAUAAAACAUACACCGAAAAGUGGCAGCAUUUUUGGCGCCGUUGCCGGGAACUAAAACGCCAGUUUGAGUUCUUGUGAAUUUCAUCACAAGUGUUGUAAGUAUUUAAUUUUUGUUUUCUUGUAUAAAAAAUUUUUUUUAAAAUGAUGCCUUUAAUUUAAUUUUGAAGACCACAGGUCUAAUCAGAGUUGGGAUAGCCAACAGGGUAUACCUAUUCACCUCCACCUUCUUGGUCUGAGGAAUUGCCUAUACACUUGAACAUAUCCUGACAUGACUUCAAUAGGGAACUGCUUAUGGACAACCAAAAAUUUUGCAAAAUAUCACCAGGCCACAAGGUCGUACCCUUAGUUUCAGAUGGUAUCAACCUUCCCACAAAACAGAGGUUUGAAGGACACUUGCAGUUAUUCUUCAAACCCAACAACAUUGUGGCCCAGCCCAUCAUGAGGAAGUUGUGUAUAAGGAGUAUGUCAUAUAUAUUUUUAGUCAUAGUCAUUUUGUGACUGAAUGUCAUCAGGCUUGUGAGUUUCCAGAAUUGUGCAAAAAUAUGUCAACGCUACCAAAGGAUACUGGAAUCCUAGUCGUGAAUUCAUACUCUUUAAAACUUAAGACAAUGAGUGGGAAAUCACUCAAAUUCCUCUGGACGCAAGAACAUUGGGUAGAUGGACUCUAACACUUUGUGUCCACCUUACCAGUUUAUUGCUUCCUUCUGAACAGCCUGCCAACAUUAAUAUCCUCUGUACCUCCAACCUUUUUUUACCCCCAAACAAUUCAGAUUUUGAGGAUAGUAUGUUGCAAGAACUUUACAAGAUUAAUGAGGCUAGCAUUCAAAAAUUUGCGUCCACUGUCAAUUAAGACAGAACUAGCAAUCCAAGUAGAGUAAUUAGGUUCACCGUUUAAUGGGACACAGGAGAAAGAGUCAUGGGACUCAAGCGCACACAGGAAACCAAUAUGUGGAGGUAGAGACCAUUAGUGAAAGCAUAACGGUGAAUUGGGGAAAAAGAGAGCGAAACUUUCAAUAGUUUUGGAAGUUGAAACAAUAUCAGUGAGACACGAAAACCUGACAAGAACUGAUCGCACACGUAAAGAACUUACUACAAUUUGUGGCAUAAAAGUUGAGCUAUUUAGUCUAACUAAAUCUUCAUUGAUGUAGAGCAAUCGAUAUUCUUGGUGUUGAAAAUUUUAAUGGGUUGUGGAUCCUUAUUUUGUACAACUAAUCAACAACUCAAAACUACGCUGAUGAAAUGGAUUAGUGGGGAAUAUAAAUGCUAAGGCUCAGAAAAAUAAAAAAAUAGUCCAAGUAUUGAUCAUAUGGGAUGCAAAUACAGUUUUUGGUCAGAGGAUCUAAAUGGGAUCAUUUGUAAAUCAUUGUCCAAGUGGAAGUGGUGUUCUUAAGAUUGGAAAACCACCCGAUGAUUUGAUGUAGUUUCUGAUAUGUAGUUUAAUUUUUUCUCUUUGCUUUAUUACAUGCUAUAUUUAACUGCACCUUUUUGGUAGUUGUGCUGACAUCCAUUUUAUAGAAUUACAUUAUGUGCCAAUCCAAAGAGGGACCAAAGCACAGGGAAUGGAACUGUGAAGAAGGGUCCAACCGGUCGGGACCAUCUGAAUCGGGUCGGACUAUGGUCGGCUGAACCCUAAGGUACAGGCAAUGCACUAGUUGAUGGGAGUUAUGCUCACAGGUGACCUCGUCCCUUUUAUUUAUUUGUGUUCUUAUUUUGCAUUGAGGACACUGCACAAUAAGUUGGGGGUGAGGGAUUAGUUGUUUAUAGCAUAUUUUCUUUUUUGUUUAAAUAGAUUAAUUAGGAAAAGUAGUAAAAAUUUUGAAAAAAAAAAAAAAAUUGGUUAAAUUUUUACUUAACAGUGGUUUAAGGAUAUAUUGACUCUAAGCAUUGCUCAUGUGAAUUAUAAAAAUCCAGUUUGAUAAUUAAAUUUUAUUUCAUGCUUGUAAAGGGCCAUUUUACGUAACUCUAGAUAACCAAUGCACAAAGUUGAACUAAUAGAUUAUGAAAUCUUAAUAAAGUAUCAAUUUUUGAUAGCAUACACUUGAGCCUCUCUUUUGUUGUGAGAACAUAAUAUUCUUAUUUAAAAACCAUAGCAGUUAUAUUGGGUUCAAAUAUAUUAAUUUCGUGAUUUAUGGCAUUUUAGGGGAUGAUACAAUGGCAUGCUUUUCAUUAUUAAGACCACAUAUUUGAGUUAACACCUUGCAACCAUAAUUGAGCUAUACACUUGAUAAAAACUUCAUUCUCAAAGCCUAGGUAACCCGGAGUUGAGGGCGGAUGAAUGGUGACAUGUAAAUGGGGUUGGAUUAAAGUUGGUGUUUAAAAAGAUGACAUGUAAGUGCACUAGUAAAAAACAAAAAAAAAUUAGAGUCGAUUCAGAUAAAGAGAACCACGUAUCAUGCCACGCUCGAGCUUCAAAUCCCACUCUUGUCAAAAAGUAGGAAUAGAAAAGUAAAAUAUGAAGAAAAAGAGAACGGACAUGAUGACAAGGACGAUUGAUUUGAAUAGGUCACAACCUGUGGUCUAAAUAGUAGGAGUAGUUAGUAGAACAUCUGGGUCCAAUGACAGCAAAAUUGGUAGAAAUUCAAACCACGUCAUAAAAAGCUGUCAUCCUUUGUGGAUCUAAACCGAGUUUUUUGGUACCAAGGUCAAUAAAAGCUAAAAAAUCCAUGUUAAAACUCUAAUAGUGCCAUUGAGAACUGAAUUGAAUUAAAAAAGUACUUUAUAAACUUGCGAUACCUAUAAUUUUGUAUGUUCUUUUUUGUGGGAUUUGUGAUUAAAUUUAUAAAAAAAAAAUAAUUUUUUUUAGUGACACCCCAGUUGAGGUGUAAAGUAAAUUCAAAUUGAAUAGAUGGAAUGAAUACAAGGUUUGCCUUGACUAAGUGAAGAGACGUUGCUUGGUUAUAGUUAAAUUCGUCUAUAAACACAGAAUAAUUCAUAAAAUUUUUGCAUCUUCUCAUGGUAUUAAAAUUUGUGCAUGCAUGUGUUAAUAUAAAUCUCAAUCCACUGAUUAGGUAGAAAUUCAAAAGUAUUCUAGUUGAUAAGGGACUAGCAACACUUAGUUGGGGGUGUGAUGAGAAUCACAAAAUUGACUAUUUUCACUAAAUAAAAUCCCUUUAAUUAGGUUAUUUUGGAUUUAUAAUGUUAUAUUAGACUUGUUAUAGUACAACAGGAUAAACAUAAUGCAGGAUGAAAACAAUGUCAAAUCUUGCACUUAAAAGUGCAAAUUGGGGAAAAGACAAAGGAUAUGGUUGAAGAAAUUGGGUGAGGAAGCGAACCGGUCAAGGAAGCUGGAACCGGUCCAAGAACCUGAACCGGUCCAAGAGCUGAAAAGGUCCAAGAAGCUGAACUGGUCCAGGAAGCUGAACCGGUCCAGGAAGUGCGACCGGUCGGAAAAAUUGUCAGAAGCAUAAGAAGAAGAAAUCCGACCGGGCGAAUAAGCUGAACGGUAGGGACUAAGGCGGUUCAGAACAGUAACCGAAAGCCUUUUGAAGACGUUUUCAAAGUACGGUUCCCAACUACCUCAAAAAACUCUAUUAAAUAAGAAGGUGGAUAUUUUAGGGAGUUUUUAAUUUUGGAAUUUUGGGACACUUCUCUCUCAUCUCUCUAAGUUCUUAGUUUUAAUUUAAUUUUAAUUUUAGUUUUAUGCUCUUAGUUAAUUUUUAGUUUUAACGUAGUUACUUUCUUAAACACUGUAUACUUAAUUUUGUCAAUUUAAUAUACUUUCAAUCUUUUCAAUUACUUUCAAUUCUCAAUGGUUCCGCCUGGAGGUGGGUUUAUGCUUACGUUUAUGCUUCAUUUAUUGCGUUCUUAACUUAAUUGUAAGUAAUUCAUUUAUAAAACUUUUAAAUCAAAUAUGAUAGGCUAAAUAGGCAUUGGUUGGGUAUAAAUACAAAGUUUCAAUUCAUCUUAGAUAAACUAGUUUCUUUCUUAUCAUGCACCAAACUUAAAAGGUUGUUUCAAAUGAUCAAUAUAUACAAAAACUAAAACUUGAAUAUGUAUAAAUCUAAGAUUAUGGUAUACACGAUCCCUUGGAUAACUAAUACUUAGAUCAAUUGCAUUCUAAGGUUUUGAAAUUGUAAUUAAUAUCAUUGUCAAUUGCACAAACCAUAUUUUAGAUACAAAAAAGUUGAAAAAAUUUCAUAUGACAAAACUUUCCACUCAAAUCAUAUAUCUUGAAAAGUGAUUGAGUACAAGAGAGAGAAAUACACCUAGAAAUCUAAAGAAGAAAGAAUAAACAAAUUAGUAUUUAGCUAUGCCAUUAUUCCAUUUAAACGUGUACUUCAUUUCAUAGUCUUCUAAAACUCACAAAAAUACAUUUUACAUUUUAUCUUACUUACAACACAAAAGACUCGCAAAUCUUGCAAACGAGCUCUCUGUGGAUGUACAGAUCUACGGACUUCAGCGUAUUAUGCUGCCAAUGGUAGGUCCAUACGAUUGGGAACUGAAUUAAGAUAGAUAAAACAUACACCGAAAAAGUGACAAUAUCCAUCACAUCAUCGGAUUCAAGCCCACGCAUGCGAGUGGACAGAGUAAAUUAUUGUGUAGCAACUUUCCGACCCUGAAACAUCGGUUUAGUAAACUUCGCAUGAUAAGCUCAGACGACCGACGAUGCGUUAAGAUACUGACCGGGAUUACUAUGAAUGAUAGUCUCGGGCGGCAACGAACGUUUAAGUACAAUUAGAAGUUGGAAGCAAGAGGUUUUAUCCUCGUACACUUAAUAUUAUACAAAUUGUGGAGCGCAAUUGAAUGUGUGGGUGGAUGCAAUUUUUCGAUUUUUUAUAUAUAAGAACAAAAACUAGCUUUUGAUAGUUAACCUUGAAAGAGGACUUAGAAUUAAAGAAAAAAAAUGAUUUUGGACCUCUGCCUGGAUAAAAAACGAAAAAGAAAAAGAGAAAGAAAAGGAAAUUAAAAUCUAAAUUAGGACUAGAUUGAGGUUAUUUUUAUUAUUGUAUACCAGCAUUAAUGGUGAACUUUAUCUAUAACUGUUCUUGGCCCUCCAAUCCAAAACCCUAAUGUCGUCCUUGUUUGGGGAACGAGCGAUGUGAAUAACUUUAACAAAUUCGCACUUAAGGGCAUAGUACGCCUACUUGUUUGGGCAAUUCGGUGGCUAAGCUUGAUCUUGCUACAAGAAUAAGCAGAAUCUUUAUUUAUUAGUGGGCCAAAACAAGUGAAGGAAAAAAAAUAAUCAGUUAAUCUUUAGCCCACCAAGUUGUUAUUAACUAUGCAUGUAAUUUAUCUUAUAACAAUUUGAGUUACGGUUAUGUUUACGAAAAUAAAUAAUGUCUUCUAUAUAUUUUAGUAAUUAAAAUUUAAAAAUGCAUUGCGUAUCAAGUCAAUAAGAAUAUUAUUUUGUAUACGUGGAAAAUAGUUGGGACCCAAUUCCAUGAUAUAUGAUUGAAAUACUCAAAGAUAUAGGUGAGGGAAGGAAUUUUGAAAGCCUUACAGGAGCUAAUUUUAUAUUAUAAGAGAACUGCAUAAUUAUAGAGGUAUAAGAAAUUUUGAGAGAUUGGGGGCAAUAAUAUACCAGGUUCUGAACCAAAGCUUCUACUUUGACAUUGAUUAUUUGCAAAUACACGUGAAAAUUCAGCUUCAAUAGAAAAUUUUACAUUACAUGGUGCAAAUUUCCAAGACCCAAUGCACACAAUGAAAUAGGAAUAUUUUAAUUGGAUUUGUCAAAAUGUUGAAUGGUACCCGGAAGGUGAAGCCUGGAAAAUGCAGACGACGAAUAAAUUUUUUUCACAUUGGAGAGGACGAAUAUAUAUCAACAUAUAAAAUUCAAAACAUAUGUGAAAAUAAAAUAUUAGUUCAAUCUUAGAUUGAUAACUUACUGAUUGAGUUUUUCAAAUUAAUACUACUUUAAAAUAGAAUUUUGAAAAAGCUUUGGAGGUCGUUUCCCUUAUUCAAUCCUGAUUGGAAGCCUGAACCUUGUAUGUUGUUUAUGGCAAGCAGUGACGGCUCACACGAAGAAAUUUUGAUUGUUUGCAGAUAGUAUAAAAGAAAAUUUUUGAUAUUAAUAUAUAUCAGCCAAAAACUAUAUUUAUGCAUACACAUAAUACGAGUUUCAUUGACAGUUGCCGACAUUGUGAUGCAUCAAAACAGCCCAUCUUUCAAACUUUCGAUUUUCAAUGACACUAACUUAAUUCCUAUAUAUAAAUCAUCACCACAAAGUACUCUUGAAGUAUAAAUAAACAUAAUCGGUCGGUCUAAAAUAAAAUAUUAGAAAUCGAGAGAAACAUAUAUUUGAUAGAUCUAAUAAGGAACCAAUCAUAAGCAUUCAACUAGUCGAUUAUAUAAAACGGUAUAAAAAUCCCGUGAAUAUAGCAUUUCUCUAUUAAAAGAAAUGCACAAAAAAUUACCUAGUAGGCAUUGCCCCCCACCCCCCCCCCCCCCCACACCCACCCACAAUUUUUUACGCUUUCUCAUCCAAACAAAAUGGAGAGAAAAAAAGCAAAUAAAUUGUGUCAUUUUGUUAACAACUGCAAACCUGAUUAGUCUCUGUGCACCCCAAUUGCUCAGUACACCCCACAUAAUUUUAAGGAUUUUAAAAUUUUGUCAACCCAAAUUGUCCGCACCCUAGACCUUUCCAUUUUCCAAGGCCUUAACCGUAACCCUAACCCUAACCCUAAAAUCCAACCAUCGCCUCCUUGUCCACACCCGCCCUUCACCCCCUCCCCACAGGCACCUCCAACAACCACCUGCCACCGCUUCCCCCAACCCCUCUCCUUUUGUCGUCGCUACCUCCUCCCAAGAACCCGCCAACGCAGAUCUCGCGGCGCCACCACCAGAGCUCGAACACCGCUACGGACUUUGCGACCAGAACCACAUACCUUGCCGGCUACAUCCUUGCCCCGGCC
rnacentral:lncRNA from 1 species